AGAGUUUGAUCCUGGCUCAGGAUGAACGCUGGCGGCAUGCCUAAUACAUGCAAGUCGAACGAGAGGAAGGAAAGCUUGCUUUUCUGAAUCUAGUGGCGAACGGGUGAGUAACACGUAGGUAACCUGCCCAUGUGCCCGGGAUAACUUCUGGAAACGGAUGCUAAAACCGGAUAGGUAGCAGACAAGCAUUUGACUGCUAUUAAAGUGGCCUUGGCCAUGAACAUGGAUGGACCUGCGGUGCAUUAGCUGGUUGGUGAGGUAACGGCCCACCAAGGCGACGAUGCAUAGCCGGCCUGAGAGGGCGGACGGCCACAUUGGGACUGAGACACGGCCCAAACUCCUACGGGAGGCAGCAGUAGGGAAUUUUCGUCAAUGGGGGGAACCCUGAACGAGCAAUGCCGCGUGAGUGAGGAAGGUCUUCGGAUCGUAAAGCUCUGUUGUAAGAGAAAAACGGCACUCAUAGGGAAUGAUGAGUGAGUGAUGGUAUCUUACCAGAAAGUCACGGCUAACUACGUGCCAGCAGCCGCGGUAAUACGUAGGUGGCGAGCGUUAUCCGGAAUGAUUGGGCGUAAAGGGUGCGUAGGUGGCAGAUCAAGUCUGGAGUAAAAGGUAUGGGCUCAACCCGUACUGGCUCUGGAAACUGAUCAGCUAGAGAACAGAAGAGGACGGCGGAACUCCAUGUGUAGCGGUAAAAUGCGUAGAUAUAUGGAAGAACACCGGUGGCGAAGGCGGCCGUCUGGUCUGGAUUCUGACACUGAAGCACGAAAGCGUGGGGAGCAAAUAGGAUUAGAUACCCUAGUAGUCCACGCCGUAAACGAUGAGAACUAGGUGUUGGGGGAAUAACUCAGUGCCGCAGUUAACGCAGUAAGUUCUCCGCCUGGGGAGUAUGCACGCAAGUGUGAAACUCAAAGGAAUUGACGGGGGCCCGCACAAGCGGUGGAGUAUGUGGUUUAAUUCGAAGCAACGCGAAGAACCUUACCAGGCCUUGACAUCCCUUGCAGAGGUAUAGAGAUAUAUCCGAGGUUAUCAAGGAGACAGGUGGUGCAUGGUUGUCGUCAGCUCGUGUCGUGAGAUGUUGGGUUAAGU
rnacentral:rRNA from 2 species